rnacentral:rRNA from 1 species
UUACGGUCAUAUAGCGUUGAAACACCGGUUCCCGUACGAUCACCGAAGUUAAGCAACGUCGAGCCUGGUCAGCCCCUAGAUGGAUGACCGCUUGGGAAUAUCAGGUACUGUAAG